rnacentral:rRNA from 1 species
GCAAGUCGAGCGGUAACACUUCGGGUGACGAGCGGCGAACGGCUGAGUAACACGUUGGUACAUGCCUUUGAUUCGGGGAUAAGCACGGGAAACUGUGUCUAAUACCGGAUAGUCCAGAAAUGGUAAAGCUUUUGCGAUCAAAGAGUGGCCUGCGGCGUAUCAUGUUAGUUGGUGGGGUAAUGGCCUACCAAGACUCUGACGCGUAUCUGGUGUGAGAGCACGAUC